rnacentral:misc_RNA from 1 species
CUCACAUAUGCAUCAGUACUUGAAAGGUAUUGAGCAUGUAGGAUAGAGUAAAGAUGAAAUAAAACAUAAAUGAACAAGCAUAAAAGCACGUAUAAUAAUCUGACAUGAUAAACUGAAUUAUGAGCUAACUAGACGCAAUGACCAAUUAAUAACAUGCUAAAAAUGAAUACUGAAUAUACUGAUAAAUGGUCAAUGCAGAGAGUAUGAUUGAACUGUGG